CGACCCUCAGGCCCAGCCUGGUGUUGGGGACCCCCGCGGCGCUUCGAGCUGCGGGAGCCCUGAAAGCCAUCGGCGGUGCCUGCCAGCACUCCGGGCGCAGUAGAAUACACCUCGCCCUGGACGUCUGGCGGCGCGCCUGCCGCUAAACGCAAGCCCACCUACCCGCCGCAAGGCGAGUGGCGAGCGAACGCAGAAAAGG
rnacentral:misc_RNA from 1 species